AUGAACGCUAGCUACAGGCUUAACACAUGCAAGUCGAGGGGCAGCAUUUUAGUUUGCUUGCAAACUGAAGAUGGCGACCGGCGCACGGGUGAGUAACACGUAUCCAACCUGCCGAUAACUCCGGAAUAGCCUUUCGAAAGAAAGAUUAAUACCGGAUAGUAUACGAAUAUCGCAUGAUAUUUUUAUUAAAGAAUUUCGGUUAUCGAUGGGGAUGCGUUCCAUUAGUUUGUUGGCGGGGUAACGGCCCACCAAGACUACGAUGGAUAGGGGUUCUGAGAGGAAGGUCCCCCACAUUGGAACUGAGACACGGUCCAAACUCCUACGGGAGGCAGCAGUGAGGAAUAUUGGUCAAUGGGCGAGAGCCUGAACCAGCCAAGUAGCGUGAAGGAUGAAGGCUCUAUGGGUCGUAAACUUCUUUUAUAUGGGAAUAAAGUUUUCCACGUGUGGAAUUUUGUAUGUACCAUAUGAAUAAGGAUCGGCUAACUCCGUGCCAGCAGCCGCGGUAAUACGGAGGAUCCGAGCGUUAUCCGGAUUUAUUGGGUUUAAAGGGAGCGUAGGUGGAUUGUUAAGUCAGUUGUGAAAGUUUGCGGCUCAACCGUAAAAUUGCAGUUGAAACUGGCAGUCUUGAGUACAGUAGAGGUGGGCGGAAUUCGUGGUGUAGCGGUGAAAUGCUUAGAUAUCACGAAGAACUCCGAUUGCGAAGGCAGCUUACUGGACUGUAACUGACGCUGAUGCUCGAAAGUGUGGGUAUCAAACAGGAUUAGAUACCCUGGUAGUCCACACAGUAAACGAUGAAUACUCGCUGUUUGCGAUAUACAGUAAGCGGCCAAGCGAAAGCAUUAAGUAUUCCACCUGGGGAGUACGCCGGCAACGGUGAAACUCAAAGGAAUUGACGGGGGCCCGCACAAGCGGAGGAACAUGUGGUUUAAUUCGAUGAUACGCGAGGAACCUUACCCGGGCUUAAAUUGCAACAGAAUAUAUUGGAAACAGUAUAGCCGUAAGGCUGUUGUGAAGGUGCUGCAUGGUUGUCGUCAGCUCGUGCCGUGAGGUGUCGGCUUAAGUGCCAUAACGAGCGCAACCCUUAUCUUUAGUUACUAACAGGUUAUGCUGAGGACUCUAGAGAGACUGCCGUCGUAAGAUGUGAGGAAGGUGGGGAUGACGUCAAAUCAGCACGGCCCUUACGUCCGGGGCUACACACGUGUUACAAUGGGGGGUACAGAAGGCGGCUACCUGGUGACAGGAUGCUAAUCCCAAAAACCUCUCUCAGUUCGGAUCGAAGUCUGCAACCCGACUUCGUGAAGCUGGAUUCGCUAGUAAUCGCGCAUCAGCCAUGGCGCGGUGAAUACGUUCCCGGGCCUUGUACACACCGCCCGUCAAGCCAUGAAAGCCGGGGGUACCUGAAGUACGUAACCGCAAGGAGCGUCCUAGGGUAAAACUGGUAAUUGGGGCU
rnacentral:rRNA from 1 species